AACCGGAUUAGAUACCCUGGUAGUCCAUGCCGUAAACGAUGUCUACUAGCCGUUGGGGCCUUUGAGGCUUUAGUGGCGCAGCUAACGCGAUAAGUAGACCGCCUGGGGAGUACGGUCGCAAGACUAAAACUCAAAUGAAUUGACGGGGGCCCGCACAAGCGGUGGAGCAUGUGGUUUAAUUCGAUGCAACGCGAAGAACCUUACCUGGUCUUGACAUAGUAAGAACUUUCCAGAGAUGGAUUGGUGCCUUCGGGAACUUACAUACAGGUGCUGCAUGGCUGUCGUCAGCUCGUGUCGUGAGAUGUUGGGUUAAGUCCCGCAACGAGCGCAACCCUUUUCCUUAUUUGCCAGCGGGUUAAGCCGGGAACUUUAAGGAUACUGCCAGUGACAAACUGGAGGAAGGCGGGGACGACGUCAAGUCAUCAUGGCCCUUACGACCAGGGCUACACACGUGCUACAAUGGUCGGUACAAAGGGUUGCUACCACGCGAGUGGAUGCUAAUCUCAAAAAGCCGAUCGUAGUCCGGAUUGGAGUCUGCAACUCGACUCCAUGAAGUCUGGAAUCGCUAGA
rnacentral:rRNA from 1 species